GAUUCUAAACCAAGAGUUGGGUGAAUACAUUACUUCUUAUCAUGAUUACUUGCUACUUGAAGGACCAGUAGCUGAGCUAAUGUUAUCUCCAAUAAUUAAGUCAGUAGGUCAAGACCAAGUGACAAUAUAUGAAGUGGAUGAUUGGCCAAAUUUCUGCAGAAAAAACUGUUUCACUAAUGGAGAUGUUGUCAAGUUCACUUUCUUUGAUAUUGAAAAUAGUAAUAGGGUUGAUGUUGAUUGGGUUAGUCAUUAAUCCAACAUGUCAUUAGGUUUAUGUGUUUUAAGAAUGCGUUUUAAUCCAGCUUCAUAUUUGUCUUUGCCUAAUUUAGGAUAACUAUUAGUUCAUUAGUUCAUGUCUAAAUUAAUUUAUGUUAUUAUGUUUCCUUA
rnacentral:lncRNA from 1 species